UACGAAGGGGGCUAGCGUUGCUCGGAAUUACUGGGCGUAAAGCGCACGUAGGCGGCUUUGUAAGUUAGAGGUGAAAGCCCAGGGCUCAACCCUGGAAUUGCCUUUAAGACUGCAUCGCUUGAACAUCGGAGAGGUAAGUGGAAUUCCGAGUGUAGAGGUGAAAUUCGUAGAUAUCGGGAGGAACACCAGAGGCGAAGGCGGCGAUCUGGACUGAUAUUGACGCUGAGGUGCGAAAGCGUGGGGAGCAAACAGG
rnacentral:rRNA from 1 species